CUCAGAAUGAAGCAGUUCAUGAAGUCUGAAAAUAGAGCAAAGGAAGCUAUGCCACACAGAUAUUGUGGUCUGGAAAGAAUGUAAUGAAUGCAGAGAUGGCUAUGGGGCUUGCUGAUAUGGGCAGUGAAUAUUACCUAUAGGUGAGAGGACAAUGUUCACCUAUGGGAAACAUGAGGACAUGGGAAACAUGAGGAGCAGUCUGUUGAGGAGAAGGAGUAGAUGCCCAUCAAAAUCAGAUGAGCCAUCAAGGAGUAUCCCAACAUAAAGGAUUGGUUAAUGGCACUAUUGCAUCUGUGAAAUGCUACGUGCGAGGAAACUCGUCCUGUGGACUUGGAAACUGAAGAUUCAAUGAUCUGCACCAGCCUGCUCUCAGUGUGACCUGAGGGACAUUGGAUUGGAGGAGGAGCAGUUGUAAGAGUUUUGCACAAUCCCUGCUCUAUGCAAACUGGGAAUAGGCUCAAAAGCCU